GACGAACGCUGGCGGCGUGCCUAAUACAUGCAAGUCGAACGCAGUGGGGACGGGUGAGUAACACGUGGGUAACCUCCCAUCAGAGGGGAUAACACUUGGCAACAGGUGCUAAUCCGAUAUUGAUGGAUGGACCCGCGGUGCAAUAGGUAGUUGGUGAGGUAACGGCCCACCAAGGCCACGAUGCAUAGCCGGCCUGGGGGGGGGAGCGGGCAAACUGGGAACGAAACAAGGCCCCGACUCCUUCGGGAGGCAGCAGUAGGGAAUCUUGGGCAAUUGGGGGAACCCUGAACGAGCAACGCCGGGUGAGUGAAGAAGGUUUUCGGGUCGUAAAGCUCUGUUGUGAAGGAAGCGGUACUUAACCAGAAAGGGACGGCUAACUACGUGCCAGCAGCCGCGGUAAUAC
rnacentral:rRNA from 1 species